GCUCGUAUAGCAUAACUGGACAAUGCAACGACCUUCUAAGUCGUCGAUUCUAGGUUCGAGUCCUAGUACGAGCGCCA
rnacentral:tRNA from 1 species